CGGGAAACCGGAGCUAAUACCGGAUAAUAUUCGAACCGCAUGGUUCGAUAGUGAAAGGUGGUUUUGCUAUCACUUAUAGAUGGACCCGCGCCGUAUUAGCUAGUUGGUAAGGUAACGGCUUACCAAGGCGACGAUACGUAGCCGACCUGAGAGGGUGAUCGGCCACACUGGAACUGAGACACGGUCCAGACUCCUACGGGAGGCAGCAGCU
rnacentral:rRNA from 1 species